rnacentral:siRNA from 1 species
GGGAGAAGUGCGGUGUGGUUC